rnacentral:rRNA from 1 species
UGAGGAAUAUUGGUCAAUGGACGCGAGUCUGAACCAGCCAAGUAGCGUGAAGGAUGACUGCCCCAUGGGUUGUAAACUUCUUUUAUAUGGGAAUAAAGUGGUCCACGUGUGGACUUUUGUAUGUACCAUAUGAAUAAGGAUCGGCUAACUCCGUGCCAGCAGCCGCGGUAAUACGGAGGAUCCGAGCGUUAUCCGGAUUUAUUGGGUUUAAAGGGAGCGUAGGCGGAUUGUUAAGUCAGUUGUGAAAGUUUGCGGCUCAACCGUAAAAUUGCAGUUGAUACUGGCAGUCUUGAGUGCAGUAGAGGUGGGCGGAAUUCGUGGUGUAGCGGUGAAAUGCUUAGAUAUCACGAAGGACUCCGAUUGCGAAGGCAGCUCACUGGAGUGUAACUGACGCUGAUGCUCGAAAGUGUGGGUAUCAAACAGGAUUAGAUACCCUGGUAGUCCACACAGUAAACGAUGAAUACUCGCUGUUUGCGAUAUACAGUAAGCGGCCAAGCGAAAGCAUUAAGUAUUCCACCUGGGGAGUACGCCGGCAACGGUGAAACUCAAAGGAAUUGACGGGGGCCCGCACAAGCGGAGGAACAUGUGGUUUAAUUCGAUGAUACGCGAGGAACCUUACCCGGGCUUAAAUUGCAAAUGAAUUAUGGGGAAACCCAUACGCCGCAAGGCAUUUGUGAAGGUGCUGCAUGGUUGUCGUCAGCUCGUGCCGUGAGGUGUCGGCUUAAGUGCCAUAACGAGCGCAACCCUUAUCUUCAGUUACUAACAGGUCAUGCUGAGGACUCUGGAGAGACUGCCGUCGUAAGAUGUGAGGAAGGUGGGGAUGACGUCAAAUCAGCACGGCCCUUACGUCCGGGGCUACACACGUGUUACAAUGGGGGGUACAGAAGGCCGCUACCUGGUGACAGGAUGCCAAUCCCAAAAACCUCUCUCAGUUCGGAUCGAAGUCUGCAACCCGACUUCGUGAAGCUGGAUUCGCUAGUAAUCGCGCAUCAGCCAUGGCGCGGUGAAUACGUUCCC